GUAGAUCCAGAAUACACUCCUCUUUGGUCACCCCUUCUGGUAAUAAAGUUUCCAUCUUGCUUAUUGUGCUAAUAGAUCUAGUUUGUCCCCAAAUUGUUGGUUUUAAGCUCAAAAACCCCAAAUCCUUUGGGAUAAAGCCUUAUGACCGAGUCAUAUCUCAGAUCUAGCCUCUCUUGAGCUCCAGAAGCUCAAGGAGAUCACCUUUUUGGCAACCAUGGCUUUGUUUUGGCUUAUUAACCCCAUAAUAGUAAAGUUUGAGUGUUAUUGCUUCAUUACAUCUUAGUUACACGUAAAGUUAGCAACCUUACGUGUUCAGAUAGUCCCAUGAGCUUAGAUCUACAGGUUGGAUGCACUGAAGUGGAUUAGAAUCGACUGUAAGGGAUCUGCAUGCUUGGGACUCGGCGAGUUGUUCUUCAGACUCGGCGAGUCGAGUCGCGAGUCCCUGGUUUUUCCCCGAUUUGAGAGUUUAGGGUGAAUCAGUGAGUAGGAAUGGACUCAGUGAGUUAGAGUUCAGGUCUAGUGACGGAGGGACUCGGCGAGUCUAUGCCUUGACUCGACGAGUCUGGUCAACUGAAAGUUGACUUUGACUUGAAAGUUGACUUUGAACAGGAAGUUGACUUUAACCGGGGGUAAAAGAGUCAUUUUACCCUGAGGAGAAUUAUCAGUACCUGAUCUAGUGUUUUUCGGAUUUCUAGCCGGUGAGUUCCGGAGCAGCAGUCAGCCAGUUUUAGAGUCAGUAUCUCAGCAGCUAGCUUUACAAGGUGAGUUUCCUUUCAGUAGGAACGGGUCUACGACCACAAUGCCGGCCCGUUUAGUUAGCAGUAGUUCCAGACUUCGGUUCGAUGCAGUAGUUCAGUGUGCUUGAUGUCUUUGUGAUUCAAGCAUGUCUUUGUGUUAUGUUUCCAGACUUCGGUCCAAUGCAGUAUGCAGUAUAUGUGUUCAUGCUAGUUGAUAGGUUUAUGCUAUGCUAUGUUCAGUCAGUUUCCGGACUUCGGUCCGAUGCAAGGGACAAGGUCCCAGUCAGUUCCGAACUUCGGUCCGAUGCAGUUAGUUCUGGACUUCGGUCUGAUGCAUGAGAAGGGGUCCCAGUCAGUUCUGGACUUCGGUCCGAUGCAGUUUCCAGACUUCGGUCCGAUGCAGAGGGCAAGGCCCUGGUUAGUUCCAGACUUCGGUCCGAAGCAGUUUCCGGACUUCGGUCUGAUGCAGUGGGCAAGGCCCAAUAGUUGUUUAUAUGUUAUUGUAUGGUAUGUGGUAGUUUGGGGGAGCUCACCAAGCUUCGUGCUUACAAUUUCAGUUUUGGUUUCAGGUACUUCACUAGCAAAGGGAAGAGCUCGGGUUGAUGGCAUCGCACACACCAUAACUUCAGUUUAAUCCUGAGAGUUUUAUUCAAACAUUUUGAUAUGAUUGAUACAGCUUUUGUUU
rnacentral:lncRNA from 1 species